AGCAGUCGCCGCGGGAAUACAGAGGGUGCGAGCGUUAAUCGGAUUUACUGGGCGUAAAGCGUGCGUAGGCGGCUUUUUAAGUCGGAUGUGAAAUCCCUGAGCUUAACUUAGGAAUUGCAUUCGAUACUGGGAAGCUAGAGUAUGGGAGAGGAUGGUAGAAUUCCAGGUGUAGCGGUGAAAUGCGUAGAGAUCUGGAGGAAUACCGAUUGCGAAGGCAGCCAUCUGGCCUAAUACUGACGCUGAGGUACGAAAGCAUGGGGAGCAAACAGGAUUAGAUACCCGGGUAGUCCCUGUCUCUUAUAC
rnacentral:rRNA from 1 species